CGUAGGGUGCAAGCGUUAAUCGGAAUUACUGGGCGUAAAGCGUGCGCAGGCGGUUUUGUAAGACAGGCGUGAAAUCCCCGGGCUCAACCUGGGAAUCGCGCUUGUGACUGCAAAGCUGGAGUGCGGCAGAGGGGGAUGGAAUUCCGCGUGUAGCAGUGAAAUGCGUAGAUAUGCGGAGGAACACCGAUGGCGAAGGCAAUCCCCUGGGCCUGCACUGACGCUCAUGCACGAAAGCGUGGGGAGCAAACAGGAUUAGAUACCCUGGUAGUCCACGCCCUAAACGAUGUCAACUGGUUGUUGGGUCUCUUCUGACUCAGUAACGAAGCUAACGCGUGAAGUUGACCGCCUGGGGAGUACGGCCGCAAGGUUG
rnacentral:rRNA from 1 species